CUUGCCAUCGAAGCUUUGCGGGUGUGGUUGCUGUGUCACAUGUGUGUCAGUCCAUGGCAGAGGGAGGAUGUAUCUAUGCUCAGUGUUCUGGCCUAUGAACAUCUGAAUGAUUAGCAGGUAAGCAUU
rnacentral:snoRNA from 1 species